rnacentral:tRNA from 1 species
UAGAAGAUAGUAUAAGUGGUAGUACGCAAAGUUUUGAGCUCUGAUGCAUAGGUUCGUAACCUAUUCUUUUA